rnacentral:rRNA from 1 species
AUUGAACGCUGGCGGCAUGCUUUACACAUGCAAGUCGAACGGCAGCGCGGGCUUCGGCCUGGCGGCGAGUGGCGAACGGGUGAGUAAUGCAUCGGAACGUGCCCAGUAGUGGGGGAUAGCCCGGCGAAAGCCGGAUUAAUACCGCAUACGACCUGAGGGUGAAAGCGGGGGACCGAAAGGCCUCGCGCUAUUGGAGCGGCCGAUGUCGGAUUAGCUAGUUGGUGGGGUAAAGGCUUACCAAGGCGACGAUCCGUAGCUGGUCUGAGAGGACGACCAGCCACACGGGGACUGAGACACGGCCAAGACUCCUAAGGGAGGCAGCAGUGGGGAAUGUUGGACAAUGGGGGCAACCCUGAUCCAGCCAUGCCGCGUGCGAGAAGAAGGCCUUCGGGUUGUAAACCGCUUUUGUUCGGGAAGAAAUCCUCUGGGCUAAUACCCAGGGGGGAUGACGGUACCGGAAGAAUAAGCACCGGCUAACUACGUG